rnacentral:rRNA from 1 species
UGGGGAAUAUUGCACAAUGGAGGGAACUCUGAUGCAGCGACGCCGCGUGAGUGAUGAAGGAAUUCGUUUCGUAAAACUCUGUUCUAUGGGAAGAAAAGGACUGUACCAUAGGAGAAAGCUCCGGCUAAAUACGUGCCAGCAGCCGCGGUACUACGUAUGGAGCGAGCGUUGUCCGGAAUUAUUGGGCGUAAAGGGUGCGCAGGCGGCUUUACAAGUUGGAUGUGAAAUAUUGUGGCUCAACCACAAACGUGCAUCCAAAACUGCAAAGCUUGGGUUAAGGAGAGGUAAGUGGAAUUCCUGGUGUAGCGGGGGAAUGCGUAGAUAUCAGGAGGAAUACCAGUGGCGAAGGCGACUUACUGGACUUAAACUGACGCUCAGGCACGAAAGCGUGGGGAGCAAACAGG